GGAUUAGACUCUCUGAGUUUUGUUUUGCAGUUUGACAGUCUCCGACGUUAAGGUGAUGCACCUCAGACACUGUGCACAGGUAGGUCCUAAUUAUCCAGGGCAUAGGUCUGGGAGUAUCCGCUGUGCAAGCAACUCAUCCAGCCGGAAGGCCAACUCCAGUCACUCCGGAUAGGAACUUGGACCCUCCGCGAAACCUGACUCCUGCUGCUUGGGGCCCUCUUCACUGCCUGUUGGUUAGCUGCACUCGUGGGCAGCGAGCAGGAUCAAUAAGAUACCUCCGACUCUUCUAUUUACAAACUAGCUGCCUUCAGCAGCCAGGCUGUUUAAGCACUUCAUUCCCAUUCAGGAGGGCCAUCUGCUGCCUUUUGCCGUAAGUCUCUCUGAAAACCCCAGCCUUGACAAGCUAGAGAUAUGUCAGUGCAGUUAUCAGCAGAAAGCAACAUCUGCCAUGCCUGACACCCACUAUUGUAGGCCAUUUAAUCUGUCCCCCUCCUCCCUUUAACUGCAGACAACAGCUCCCUAUAUUAUAUUUUCCCACUCAAUUAGCACUAUCAUCCUGCUGAAAUAGAGGCCAAUUUACCUUUAAUGACAUCAUUGUUAGGAGAGUGGCAGCUCCUGGUCUGUGGCUGUCACUGGCUUGCAGGAGGCAGGCUUGUCUCUCUCCGCUAACCCUGACAGAGGAAGGGAAGAGCAGGCAGCCUAUCCGAGGCAGCCUUCACCCCCGACCACAGACAUUGUUUCCGACAGUUCGCAGAAGCAGUGUGGCGGAAAAUUGAGUCCAGAUUCAUUAGGUUUUUCAGUGUGCUGCUCAAGUCAGUUAAAUUGAUACAUUUCCUAACAAAAUUGAAGUGCUUUGUGCUGCCAGCGGAAAGCCUGGUGACCCUGCUCGGCCCACUGAGCAGCCAAAACGAGUUGAUGGAUCCAUUAGGCCGCUCAGAAUGCUUUCCCCCUCUCCCUCCAUUCCUGAGUGACACUGUAAAUCUGAGCCAAUUUCAGUCCCUAAUCAUCAUUACAAACCCCUCCACUGUUCAUUUAUUACUCUACAAUUCUAAUAUAGCACACGAAUGGGUCAGCACACAGGGAGCCAACACAACUGCACAGACAGGCUUAAAGAGCCCAUAAUCCUUCCCAGUCUUUAUCUGGGAAGCAAACCUGAUUCCUCUCCCAGCUCCCAAAGCCUGCUUUGGACUGGCAAUCAGAUGAGGUCUGCCUGGCCUGGAGAUCAGGAACAAGGGCUAUUUAGUUGCUUGGAAUUGGAGUGAGGGCUGCAUGGCAGAGGGAGAGGAAACAUCUGUCAGAUGUAGGCAUCAAAGGGAGACCUGGGGUAGGGGUCACAGCCAUGGCUGCCUGCUCUAGAAAUCAUAGUGCUGUGUGAUUCCUGCAACGUCUGUCUGGCAGGGGGCUGGGAUCAGCAGGAGGGAUGCCUGGCACAGCGACCAAAAUUAAGGUAAUUUGGCUUGGUUAUUGGAUUGACAGCUGUCUGGCAUGGUGGUCGUGUGGCAGAGACGUGGCAUGGUGAUGGCUUGAUGGCUGUGUGAAAUGGUGACUAUGUGUCAGGUAUCUGGUAAAGUGAUCAGAGUUUUGACUCUGUCUGAUGUGCUGGCCUACACAAGUUUUGCCUAGCAAGGAACGAAUGCUUCAUGUGUGCUGUUGGGAAGAUGUUGAUCACUCUGGGCAGGUCGCUCAAGAGGGGUUAUUUGUGCUACCUAACUGAUGGCUUAUCAAGAUUCUCCUUUCACUCUAGAAAGAAAGCUCCUGCCACUGGACUCACGGGUUCCUGACUCAGGUCUCUGCAAAGAUGAAUACGUCAUAUCAGUGUCCAAAUUAUGGUUCAAUCCUCCCUUGGGGGGAAGAUCAUUCAGUUACAGUGAGAUGAUGUAGCUUACCUGGCGUGUGGGAAUGUAUGUCAUGAGACCACAAGGGGAGGCAGUCAAUGUCACCUCUCUUGCUGUCAAACCCUUCUUGAGGCAGUGAUGGCUUUUCAAGGGCCUGCCACCAGAUAUACAAGACUUUUCUAGGGCGCAACGUAGCAACCCUGAGAAAGAUUCCUCUUCCAUCGCUGUGCAGAUCACGGUGAACCUUCUAGGAUGCCCUGCAGACAGUGCUGAUCCUCAGCAGAAGGCAUGGUCAUAAUAGCCGAUGGAUAUGCCAGACCAGUAUGGUACACAGGUAAGUGUCAUGUGUGCUGGGAUUAAUGGUCACACGUUAUAGUUGUGGGCUAAUAAUAAAUAAUAAUAAUAAUAAUACCUAGCGACUGUCUAAUGUUUUUCAUCCACAGAUCUCAAAGAGCUUUACAAAGGAGUCAGUACUGCUAUCCCUAUUUUACAGCUAAUACUCAAAAUGUUGUCAAAGUUGAAAUACAUAUUUCCAUUGAAUGUUAACUGUUAAAUUCAAAAUUCAUUCAUGUAAUGGGCCUAGGUAUGUGAAACUUCACCAGCUGUCCAGAGAACUGGGAAUCCCUCAGCUGACGUCAGAGCCACCACCCAAACAUUUCCAGCUCACAUUAAAAAAGAGGUACAAGAAAUUAAAUCUACCCGUCACCAAAUAAAAGGCCAUACUCUACUGUUCAUUGUUGUACAAAAUUCCCAUUGACACAAACUUCACUUAUCAAUUUAACUUUUAGGUGCUCAAACUGGACUCCAAUAUUGUGGAUGCAAUUCUGCACCUGCAAUUUGCAGGGGCAAUUUAUUACACCCACAACUAACCCCAUUAUAAUGCCUCAUUGCCUGAUUUAAAGCUGCACACUGCAGUCAUAUCGCAAGGCUUCUGAAUGAGGGCGACUGCAUCCAUAACCUGUGCCCACUAUAUCAGAGGCAGCUUUGGGGAAAUGUAGGCCUAAAUCCUUCUCCAUCUGUUCUGGUGUGACUUACUGUCCUGCACUUCACAGCAUUGCCAACUCCUGUGAUUUUAUCACGAGUCUUGAAAUAUUUGGUGUUUUUCUGAAAGUUUCUGAAAGCAUGUGGUUAGAGGGAAAUCUCAGCUAAAAAUAAAAGUUUCUAGAUUUCACGGUUUCCCAGAACAACUGGAAAACAGGCCCCAAACACACCUGGAACCCACUGGUGAGUUAGAAAUUUCAAGUCUUCCUCGUUGCUACUCUGCAGAGAAUAUAUGAAUUGUUGCAGCUACCAAGCUCUGGCUCUUUAACUCAAGCUGGGACAGUUCAUGCUCGUUGUUCUUGAGGUCCCCAGUUCUCUCACUAGUGUGUCAGUGAAGACGGCGGUUGUCCCACACCCCAAAGACUCCCAAACCAGAAGACAAGUAAAAAAGAACCUGAAAACAUUAUUUUAAAAAUACUCUCAUGCCUUUGGGGGCCCUGACUCAUGAUUUUUGAAUGCUGGGAUUGGCAAUGCUGCAUGUAUUGGCAUCGAAUUCUUUACUCUGAUCUUCCAAUAUCUUUUUUAACAUAAGGUAAAAAGUGUGUGUGUUUAUUUUAUAUUUACAGAAAAUACAUACCCUUAUGCCACAAAGCAAAGGGUUCCAGCCAGCCCUUCAGUUUUUAAGUAAUGAGUCCAGCCAGUGCUGGUUAGAAAACUUAUUCACUACUGUAAUCAUGCAUAACACAACAAGAAGCCACCUCCUCUCACCAGCUCUCUUCAGUAUUAAUUUGCACAAAAUAAAGGCAACUAAAGAGGAGUUUAGAGCAGGCCUGGUGCUAGCUGCGCAGAAGGGAAAAGGUAAAUUAAAACACGUUAGCAGCACAUUAAAGAAGUCAAUACAAAGCACAACUUUGACUCAGGGCAGAUUGGUGGUGGUUCUUCUAAUGCAUAUAAAGCAGCCAGUUUGACAGCACUGGAGAGUAAAACCCUCCAUUUAUUCAUAGACUAGACACAGCUCAAGCAAGGACAGUGCAAACUACGGGCACUGCCCUACCUUAACUGGAAGCAUUCCAGCUCCAGGACAGAGUGAGCAAUUCAUCCCCUUGGCCUCUUUGCUCAGACUGCCAACAAUGGGGCCACUUGUCAUGGUGGUUUUGUGACACCUCUUCACUAGGAACUGACUGAGUCCAACUCAUUUCACAUAGGCCACUGAGCCAUCAGCAGAUGAUAAACACAGUCACUGUCAAGCCGAGCUUGAUUAGAACCAACAGCUUAUCAUGGAGUGAAAGGCUUGAUAGCUCCUGAGCCACCUCACCCCCUUUGAUGUUGAAUACAAGCACUGGGCCAGAUUUUAAAAGCAGUUGCCCCAGUGUAAACCCAGAAUAACUCUAUUAAAGGCAAUGGACUUACUCCAGAUUUACACUGGGACAUCUGAGACAAGAAAUGGGCCCAUUGCUUCCAAGAGCUGUGGAGAAUUGUAGAUUUCCUUUUGUGUCUCUGCAUCUCUCUGUUAAGUGUCUGUCUGUAUUGAAGACCAUAAUGGGUGUUAUAGGGCCAGAUCCUCAGCUGGCGUAAAUCCAUGUAGCUUCACUGAGGAAAAAUUGAUGGAACUCCACUGAGGCCAAGGGCAAAUGUUGGUGUGAAUCAGUGUGAUGGUCAGGGCUGAUAUUUCCUCUCUAUUCUAGCAGCUCAACUUUCUCUCUAGACUUCCCUUCAUGCAAUAAUGCUGAGCUAUCUUGUCAGCACAAUUUCGUAGCAUACAAUGCCACAGGUUUGCCUUUCUUGCAGUAUUUUUGAGCACGCUUUUUGGGAUCACUCUUUCGAAAUAUUAUAGGAAUGGCAGUACCAUGGUAUUUCUGCCAGUUCCUAUCCAGUUCCUAGUCAUGUUGUAGAGCUACUUUGAACAGAGAUGGGCAUUUCCAAUGGUAUUAAUUAAAAAAAUAACUAAACUUCGCCUGAUCUUAUUUAUACUCUGAUAUAAUGCAAAGCCUUACCAAGUAAUACUUUCCAUUUCUUCCAUCAUGGGAUCUUAAAGUCCUUUUGAUGGUUGAUUAAAUAAACCUCACAACUGCAAGAUAUGCAGGUAGUGCUAUCUCUGUUUUACAGCUACAAAACAAAAGGCAGAGAAGAACUUUCUUCAGGGGACACAGAAAGCUUACUCCAGAACUGGGAGUAGAUCCCAGAUCUCUUGGCACCCAGGCCUGAACUUUAGGCACAAGGCCAUCCUUCCCCACAAUAAAUGUCUGUCAAGUACAGCUGUCAUCUAAAAAAUGUUCUGACAGUUUCCUUCUUUUGGAGAGAAGACUGUUGCAUUCUUUACUGGGGAUAAACACUAUAAAUUGGCAGGAAAGGAGGUGAAGCCUCAGGGCUAGAUUCUGAUCUCUUUUACUCUGAUGUAAAUCUGGGUCAACAUCAUUAUCUCAGUGUACGCUGGAUAUACACUGAUGUUUUUGAAUCAGAAUCUGGCUCCCAUUAUCUAGCUUCUAAGAUUCUAUUUGCUCCAUGCUGAAAAUAUAAGGGUCAGAUUCUGAUCUCAGUUACAUCAGUAUAAAUUAAGAGCAACUUCAUGGCCUUCAAUAAAGGUUGUCUGGAUUUAGACUGAUGUAAUAGAUGAGAGUCUGGCCCUAAUUAUCUACUUCUACCAUACAAAUUAUAUAUAAUGAACUGAAGUACAUAUGGAGGUCAGGACACUAAAGGCUCGAAAAGUCCCCAAAAUAUGCAACCUGUGUUUACCCAAAACAGAGACAUCUGUAUCUCCAAAUUUAGAAAUGAUUUUCCUCUUUCCAAAUGGGUAAUAAAUCAGCAAGCACGGUACAUAUUUUUUUUUUCUAUUUUGAAUUCUGUUAACUGACAAUUUAACCUAAAAGCCUUUGUAUUUUCUACUUGUACAGCUGUAAAUAGAGACUGACAGUUUAUUUUCAACAUCCUGGGGUUUUUUGUUUUUAAAAAAAAAAAAAACAUUUGAAAUAGAUACUUAUAGGUCCAUGACAGACGGGUAGCUGAUGCUCCAUAGCAAUCUCGUGGAGCUGUCACACUCUGUGAUCGGUCUUUUACAAACACAAACACUGUUGAUUUCUUAUCAAAUGUAAAACCUCCACUGCUCUUUCUUAAAUGGUUACUACUAGCAUGAAAUUGACAUUGUGAAUCACAUGUGACACUGACUUGUCUGCCUUGUAAUUGAUCUGUGCUUAGGAAAGAGACAGAGCCUGUACAAGCUUCAGUCCCAAUCACUGACUUUUCAGCGCACACCAAACUCCCAGCAAUCUGCUCAGGACCCUAGUGAUAACAAAUUGUUGCAAAUGAUAGAAAACUGCAAGGAGGAGAGAGGGAGAAAAAGAGCUUGAUUCAUCUAAGGGGUUGGGUUUUUUUUUACACUGAUUCUCUGAGGUGUCAAUUUCAAUUUCAAUUGAUUCAUUAUUAUGCAUAUCAAACUGCUGUAAUUGGCUGCUACAGAAAUGUAUUCCUUUUUGUAAAAAAAAAAAAAAAAAAAAGGAGGAGGGAUGUGAGAUGGCACA